ACGUAGGGGGCUAGCGUUAUCCGGAAUUACUGGGCGUAAAGGGUGCGUAGGCGGUCUUUCAAGUCAGAAGUGAAAGGCUACGGCUCAACCGUAGUAAGCUUUUGAAACUGUAAGACUUGAGUGCAGGAGAGGAGAGUGGAAUUCCUAGUGUAGCGGUGAAAUGCGUAGAUAUUAGGAGGAACACCAGUUGCGAAGGCGGCUCUCUGGACUGUAACUGACGCUGAGGCACGAAAGCGUGGGGAGCAAACAGGAUUAGAUACCCUGGUAGUCCACGCUGUAAACGAUGAGUACUAGGUGUCGGAGGUUACCCCCUUCGGUGCCGCAGCUAACGCAUUAAGUACUCCGCCUGGGGAGUACGCACGCAAGUGUG
rnacentral:rRNA from 1 species